rnacentral:rRNA from 1 species
UAAUACAGAGGAGCCAAGCGUUGUCCGGAUUGACUGGGCGUAAAGCGCACGCAGGCGGACGCGCGCGUGGGGUGUGAAAUCUGGCCGCUUAACGGCCAGGCGCCAUCCCAUACGGCGCGUCUGGAGCCAUGCAGAGGGCGGUGGAAUUGCCGGUGUAGUGGUGAAAUGCGUAGAGAUCGGCAGGAACACCCAGGGGGAAACCAGCCGCCUG